rnacentral:rRNA from 1 species
UACAGAGGUCUCGAGCGUUAGGCGGAAUCACUGGGCUUAAAGCGUGUGUAGGCGGACUGGUAAGUACCUUGUGAAAUCCCACGGCUCAACCGUGGAACUGCUUGGUAUACUGCUUGUCUUGUGCAACCUAGGGGCGAGCGGAACAGAUGGUGGAGCGGUGAAAUGCGUAGAUAUCAUUUGGAACGCCAAUGGUGAAAACAGCUCGCUGGGGGUGCACUGACACUGAGACACGAAAGCCAGGGGAGCGAACGGG